AACGAACGCUGGCGGCAUGCCUAACACAUGCAAGUCGAACGAGACCUUCGGGUCUAGUGGCGCACGGGUGCGUAACGCGUGGGAACCUGCCCUGAGGUUCGGAAGAACUCCCCGAAAGGGGUGCGAAUACCGGAUAAUGUCUUCGGACCAAAGAUUUAUCGCCUUUGGGUGGGCCCGCGUUGGAUUGGCUAGUUGGUAGGGUAAAAGCCUACCAAGGCGACGAUCCAUAGCUGGUCUGAGAGGAUGAUCAGCCACACUGGGACUGAGACACGGUCCAGACUCCUACGGGAGGCAGCAGUGGGGAAUAUUGGACAAUGGGCGAAAGCCUGAUCCAGCAAUGCCGCGUGAGUGAUGAAGGCCUUAGGGUUGUAAAGCUCUUUUACCCGGGAUGAUAAUGACAGUACCGGGAGAAUAAGCUCCGGCUAACUCCGUG
rnacentral:rRNA from 1 species